rnacentral:rRNA from 1 species
AUACAGAGGGUGCAAGCGUUAAUCGGAUUUACUGGGCGUAAAGCGCGCGUAGGUGGCUAAUUAAGUCAAAUGUGAAAUCCCCGAGCUUAACUUGGGAAUUGCAUUCGAUACUGGUUAGCUAGAGUAUGGGAGAGGAUGGUAGAAUUCCAGGUGUAGCGGUGAAAUGCGUAGAGAUCUGGAGGAAUACCGAUGGCGAAGGCAGCAAUCUGGCCUAAUACGGGCACUGAGGUGCGAAAGCAUGGGGAGCAAACAGGAUUAGAUACCCGGGUAGUCCAUGCCGUAAACGAUGUCUACUAGCCGUUGGGGCCCUUGAGGCUUUAGUGGCGCAGCUAACGCGAUAAGUAGACCGCCUGGGGAGUACGGUCGCAAGACUAAAACUCAAAUGAAUUGACGGGG